rnacentral:rRNA from 1 species
UACGUAGGGUGCAAGCGUUGCCCGGAUUUAUUGGGCGUAAAGGGCGCGUAGGCGGCUCUGCACGUUCGUUGUGAAAUCGCCCGGCUCAACUGGGCGGGGUCAGCGGAUACGGCAGAGCUUGAGCAAGCUAGGGGGCAAUGGAAUUCCCGGUGUAGUGGUGGAAUGCGUAGAUAUCGGGAGGAACACCAGUGGCGAAGGCGAAUCUCUGGACAGUUACUGACACUGAGGCACGAAGGCCAGGGGAGCAAACGGG